UGGCCACGGGUGGGAGGCUGCUGAGCAAGUGCCAGAUCUGGUCUGUGAUCCGCAAGUACAUGCAGAAGGAAGGCUGCGUGGGAGAGGAUGAACACUUGCUGAAACUUCUGCGUCGCCGAUAAUGUAACACCCUGUCAGGGAACUGGCUGGUGUCAGACCUGCAUCCUCCCUCCCUGCACCUGUAUCUGUAAUUCCUGGCUUUCAUCUCCUGUGCCCCGUCUGUUCUGCUGUGCCAUUUGCUUCCCCGUCAUGUGGUCAUUAUGAUGGCUGGCUUAAAAAGGAGGAGAAAAAAAAAAAAAAAAAAAAAGAAGAAACUCGGGUGCCUGGGGUUGUGCUGACCCGCUGCCGCGUCAGCUGCCCGUGCUGCCUGCAGGCAGCAUGGCUGGGCAGCUGCCCUUUGUCCCUGCCACCCAUCAGCGAAGGCAAGGAUCCUGCUUUCCAGCGCCGCAGGCAAGCGUGCUCAUGGGACCGAGGUAACGCUGCCGGAGCUCCGAGGUGUCCGUACGGAUUUUGGCGAGCUCCCAGCUUGCAGCAAAGCAACCCCCCGGCCCCGUUGGGGAAAUGAAGCACGACAAGGCAGCAAGGUGCGGACCCAGCCUCAGGGAGCACCCCCAGCCAGCUGAGCACCCAGCAUCCCAGCUGGCACAGUGCCAGCUCCCUGCAGGAGCCGCGGCAAAGACCCGGGGACCGUCACAGGGUCCAGGCACCCAUUCUGUGCUGCAGUGUCUUCGAGGGAGCAGAAGUGCUAUGACGGCGAAACAUGGUCCUCGCCUUUCUUCUGGUUUAAAGUCUGUCCCCUGGCUCUCCCCUUCCCCUCCUGCAUCCCAGGAUUUCAGCCUCCGCUAGUCGCAGUCAGGAUCGCCAUGCCAGAUGUCUGGGCUGUAUUCCUGUCGCGCCGAAUUGGCCUAAGAGACAGGAAUUGGUUACAACCAUACGGAAACCCGGCCCAUUUGUCCCUCCCUAUUUCUGCUUGCAGUGAAGCCGUGACCUUCCCUGCCUGUCGUAGCUCCAGGUGGGGCUGUUAAGAGAAGCCGGUGCUGCUGCCAAAAGCCUUCUCCCCACCAAGAGCUCACGUGGCCGGGGGUGAUAAUCUUGCUGGAAACUAACCUGGAGCCUAAAACUGGGUUUAAUCCACAUCGGUUCCCUGCCUCGCUUUGUCCCAGGUCACCAAGGUUCAUGGCAGAGGGCAGCGAAACUGCAGCCCUUAUUUAUUUUGACUUGCUUACUGGAGCAGAAAUAAAGCUCAAGGAGAUGCACACAAGUCAGAAGUGACAUGGCAAGUCUUUUCUCGGAGCUGGAGGGGAUUUUCUUUCAUGCUGUGGUAUAUGUUAAUCCAGGUAAGCAAUGGCACUGGAAGU